rnacentral:rRNA from 1 species
AACGAACGCUGGCGGCAUGCCUAACACAUGCCAGUCGAACGAGACCUUCGGGUCUAGUGGCGCACGGGUGCGUAACGCGUGGGAACCUGCCCUUAGGUUCGGAAUAACUCCCCGAAAGGGGUGCUAAUACCGGAUAAUGUCUUCGGACCAAAGAUUUAUCGCCUUUGGAUGGGCCCGCGUUGGAUUAGCUAGUUGGUAGGGUAAAAGCCUACCAAGGCGACGAUCCAUAGCUGGUCUGAGAGGAUGAUCAGCCACACUGGGACUGGGACACGGCCCAGACUCCUACGGGAGGCAGCAGUGGGGAAUAUUGGACAAUGGGCGAAAGCCUGAUCCAGCAAUGCCGCGUGAGUGAUGAAGGCCUUAGGGUUGUAAAGCCCUUUUACCCGGGAUGAUAAUGACAGUACCGGGAGAAUAAGCUCCGGCUAACUCCGUG